GCCUGCAUGAAGUCGGAAUUGCUAGUAAUCGCGGAUCAGCAUGCCGCGGUGAAUACGUUCCCGGGCCUUGUACACACCGCCCGUCACACCAUGAGAGCCGGUAACACCCGAAGUCAGUAGUCUAACCGCAAGGGGACNCUGCCGAAGGUGGGCUGGUGAUUGGGGUGAAGUCGUAACAAGGUACC
rnacentral:rRNA from 1 species